rnacentral:rRNA from 1 species
CCUUCUCAAACAGCGAUGUUUGGUUGUGAGUGAUACUCGGACGAGUUAGCUUGAAAAUGCUGGCCGGUGGCUGCGGUGGCCGGGGCUUCUUAUCCUGCUGCGAUAAGGGGAGCUCUGCCGGACGUCUUCGUACUAGGUUCUGCCAAUUCGGGGACAGCUGGCGGGGGUUUCUGUGGCGGGAGCUACGGGGGGCCCGUUGACGGCUGCGGACUAGACAGCAGUGGCGAACAGUGUUCUUUUAAGU